rnacentral:lncRNA from 1 species
AGUAGAGUGUAUUUUGACAUAUUAUACAAAGAGGGAGUAUGACUUAUUCUAAUUAGGAAUCCAUUCUUGUGAUUAGACAUGAUGUGGAGUUUCACAGGUCACAGGAAAGAACUCUCAAUCAGGCAUCCAUGGAAAUGCCUGACAAUCAGCGGGAUCUCCUGAUUAACAUCUGUCAGUCAGCAGCCCCCUGGCCAAUCCUGGGGUUCAGCCAGCUCCCCCGACCAACUCCAGCAAGACAAGGGACUCUAAAACACCUUUUCCUGUCCCAAGCCCUUUCCUUCCUGCCUAAACCCCAUAAAAUUCCAGUCCAUUAGAGCUCCUAUGCGGUUUCUCCUCAGACCCUUCUCCUGUCUACACUGUUGGUCUGUGGAGUUCCUCCUGGGAGUGGUAUCUCAAAUAAAGGCUCCUUCGGUGGUCCUUUUAAAUCUUCCUUCUUUGCUCCCUGAGGGCCUUGCCUGAUCUCACAAUACCCUACCUCACCUUGAGCCCUGAGGAUGGAGCCUGCUGUCUAUGCGUUGAGACCUCUGAAACUGUGAACCCCCAAAUAAACUUUUCUCUUCUACAAUUGUUC